rnacentral:rRNA from 1 species
UAGGGAAUAUUGGGCAAUGGGUGAGAGCCUGACCCAGCCAUGCCGCGUGUAGGAAGACGGCCCUACGGGUUGUAAACUACUUUUAUAUAGGAACAAAAAGAAUCUUGCGAGAUUUACUGAGGGUACUAUAUGAAUAAGCACCGGCUAACUCCGUGCCAGCAGCCGCGGUAAUACGGAGGGUGCAAGCGUUGUCCGGAUUUAUUGGGUUUAAAGGGUACGUAGGCGGAUUGUUAAGUCUGUGGUGAAAGCUCUCGGCUCAACCGGGAAAUUGCCAUGGAUACUGACAGUCUUGAGUACAGUUGAGGUGGGCGGAAUUCAUGGUGUAGCGGUGAAAUGCAUAGAUACCAUGAGGAACGCCGAUAGGGAAGCCAGCUCACUGGACUGUAACUGACGCUGAGGUACGAAAGCGUGGGGAGCGAACAGGAUUAGAUACCCCCGUAGUCC